rnacentral:rRNA from 1 species
UACAGAGGUGGCAAGCGUUGUUCGGAAUUACUGGGCGUAAAGGGCGAGUAGGCGGCCUUCUAAGUCAGACGUGAAAUCCCCCGGCUUAACCUGGGAACUGCGUCUGAUACUGGGAGGCUAGAGUAUGGGAGAGGGAUGUGGAAUUCCAGGUGUAGCGGUGAAAUGCGUAGAUAUCAGGAGGAACACCGGUGGCGAAGGCGGGUCUCUGGGCAACAACUGACGCUGAGGAGCGAAAGCGUGGGGAGCGAACAGG